UGGGGAAUAUUGGACAAUGGGCGGAAGCCUGAUCCAGCAACGCCGCGUGAGGGAUGACGGCCUUCGGGUUGUAAACCUCUUUCAGUACCGACGAAGCGAAAGUGACGGUAGGUACAGAAGAAGGACCGGCCAACUACGUGCCAGCAGCCGCGGUAAUACGUAGGGUCCGAGCGUUGUCCGGAAUUAUUGGGCGUAAAGGGCUCGUAGGCGGUUUGUCGCGUCGGGAGUGAAAACAGCGGGCUUAACUCGUUGCUUGCUUUCGAUACGGGCAGACUAGAGGUAUGCAGGGGAGAAUGGAAUUCCUGGUGUAGCGGUGAAAUGCGCAGAUAUCAGGAGGAACACCGGUGGCGAAGGCGGUUCUCUGGGCAUUACCUGACGCUGAGGAGCGAAAAGUGUGGGGAGCGAACAGGAUUAGAUCCCUGGUAGUCCACACCGUAAAACCGUUGGGGCGCUAGGUGUGGGGUCCUUUCCACGGAUUCCGUGCCGUAGCUAACGCAUUAAGCGCCCCGCCUGGGGAGUACGGCCGCAAGGCUAAAACUCAAAGGAAUUGACGGGGUCAUAGCUGUUUU
rnacentral:rRNA from 1 species